GAGAUGUUGGGUUAAGUCCCGCAACGAGCGCAACCCCUAUUGCUAGUUACCAUCAUUAAGGUUGGGGACUCUAGCGAGACUGCCAGUGAUAAACUGGAGGAAGGUGGGGAUGACGUCAAAUCAUCAUCGCCCCUUAUGACCUGGGCUACAAACGUGAUACAAUGGCUGGAACAAAGGGAUGCGAAGCAGUGAUGUGGAGACGAAACCCAAUAAAAACAGUCUCAGUUCGGAUUGAAGUCUGCAACUCGACUUCAUGAAGUCGGAAUCGCUAGUAAUCGCGGAUCAGAACGCCGCGGUGAAUACGUUCGUCGGGGUUU
rnacentral:rRNA from 1 species